rnacentral:rRNA from 1 species
AUUGAACGCUGGCGGCAUGCUUUACACAUGCAAGUCGAACGAGUGGCGCACGGGUGAGUAAUACAUCGGACCGUGUCCUAUCGUGUGGGAUAACUUCUCGAAAGAUCAGCUAAUACCGCAUACGAUUGGAGCGGCCGAUGCCCGAUUAGCUAGUUGGGGAGGUAAAGGCUCACCAAGGCGACGAUCGGUAGCUGGUCUGAGAGGACGACCAGACACAGUGGGACUGAGACACGGCCAAGACGCCUACGGGAGGCAGCAGUGGGGAAUUUUGGACAAUGGGGGCAACCCUGAUACAGCCAUGCCGCGUGAAGGAGGAAGGUCUUCGGAUUGUAAACUGCUUUUGUCAGGGAAGCGGUACCUGAAGAAUAAGCACCGGCUAACUCCGUGCCAGCAGCCGCGGUAAUAC